rnacentral:rRNA from 1 species
CAGUAGCCGCGGGAAUACGUAGGUGGCAAGCGUUGUCCGGAACUAUUGGGCGUAAAGGGCUCGCAGGCGGUUUCUUAAGUCUGAUGUGAAAGCCCCCGGCUCAACCGGGGAGGGUCAUUGGAAACUGGGAAACUUGAGUGCAGAAGAGGAGAGUGGAAUUCCACGUGUAGCGGUGAAAUGCGUAGAGAUGUGGAGGAACACCAGUGGCGAAGGCGACUCUCUGGUCUGUAACUGACGCUGAGGAGCGAAAGCGUGGGGAGCGAACAGGAUUAGAUACCCCGGUAGUCCCUGUCUCUUAUAC